ensembl:lncRNA
CCCAGACGCGCGCACACACUGACUCGCACUCUCACACACACAUGCACGCAGAAUAAGGACUUGGAUUGUUGGGUCACGUGAUUCACCAAUCAGCGGACAUCCGAAGGCACAAAGCGUCCGUUGUAUCGUAGCGUCGUGGGGCAGCGGGUUCUGACGACUCAUAACAUCAUCUGCGGUGUGGUUCCUUGUCACCGUUUACUUGACAACGGGAAUAGUGCCAACGACAUCUCGUGGCGAAACCUAAAACGUGGUAUGGUAUCUCUUCACACCCAAUAUGUUUCAGUCCAAUAGGACGCCCUCACGUUCUUUGAUGUAUGCAAAUGGUUAAAUUAUGAGCAAACGCACCCGGUACAUUUACAAAGGCGACCUCAGUUCUGCUAUGAACCUCUCCCGAACGCGUCAAAGAGCUGCUUCCUCUCUCCCACAUCCCCUUUCCUACAGGUGGCAUUCAAGCACUUUCAUGCCCUAUAGAUUAUUUAUUUUCAACAACAGGAUGCACAGCGGGCCGCCGGUGUAGUGUGGCCGUCUAACAGGAAGUACAUUAAGCCAGGGGGCCGUACUGUACAUCCAACAUAAACAAACCCAAAACAUGGGUAAGAUGUAGUUAUUCCCAGCUCGGUGGAACAAUGGAGGAGCUAUAUUAGGUGGAUUCUCACACUUUUGAGCUCUGGGUGGGUGGACUGCAGGAUUAAAG